AUGGAUAAGAUAUCCCGACACAGUGGUAUCUUUAUACCGCUUAGAACGGCAAAAAAAAAUGCUAAGGAAUCAAAAAAAAAGUUGCAAGAUUGGAUCUAUGUCCAAUGGAUCACACCUAACAAGAAAAAGUAUUUUGUUUUGGCUCGACCUGUAAUCAUAUAUGAAAUAGCAGACGGUAUAAAUUUCGUAACACUUUUCUCCCAGCAUCUUUUGCAUGAAAGGGAUAAUCUGGAACUUAGAGUUGUCAAUUAUAUCCUUUAUGGAAAUGGCAAACCCAUUCGGGGAAUUUAUGGCACAAAUAUUCAAUUAGUUCGGACUUGUUUAUUGUUGAAUUGGGACCAAGACAAAAAAAGUUCUUCUGUCGAAGAAGCUCACGCUUCUUUUGUUGAAGUAAAUACAAAUGGUCUAAUUCGAGAUUUCCUGCGAAUCGAUUUAGUAAAAUCCUAUAUUUCGUAUAUCAGAAAAAGGAAAGAUCCGUCAGGUUCAGGAUUGAUCUUUGAUGAGAGGUCAGAUCCCAACAAUAUCAAUCCAUUUUAUUCUAUUUAUUCCAAGGCAAGGAUUCAACAAUCACUUAGUCAAAAUCAAGUAACUAUUCGUACGUUGUUGAAUAGGAAUAAGGACUCUCAAUCUUUGAUAAUUUUGUCAUUAUCUAAUUGUUUUCAAAUGGGUCCAUUCAACGAUGCAAAAUAUUACAAUGGAAUAAAAAAAGAAUCAAUGAAAAGAGAUACUCUAAUUCCAAUUAGGAAUUCGUUGGGGCCUUUAGGAUUAAGAAGAGCCUCUAAAAGUAAGAAUUUUGAUUCAUUUUACCAUUUAAUAACUUAUAAUCAGAUCUCGGUAACUAAAUAUUUACAACUUGACAAUUUAAAACAGACUUUUCAAGUACUUAAAUAUUAUUUAAUAGAUGAAAAUGGUAGAAUUUAUAAUCCCGAUCCAUGCAGUAACACCAUUUUGAAUCCAUUCAAUUUGAAUUGGCAUUUUCUCCAUCAUCAUUUUCUCCAUCAUAAUUAUUGUGAAGAACCAUCUACAAUAAUUAGCCUUGGGCAGUUUAUUUGUGAAAAUGUAUGUAUAGCGAAAAACGGACCGCACCUAAAAUCGGGUCAAGUUCUGAUUGUUCAAAUUGACUUUGUAGUAAUAAGAUCAGCUAAACCUUAUUUGGCCACUCUGGGAGCAACUGUUCAUGGUCAUUAUGGAGAAAUCCUUUACGAAGGAGAUACGUUAGUUACAUUUAUGUAUGAAAAGUCGAGAUCUGGAGAUAUAACGCAAGGUCUUCCAAAAGUGGAACAAGUGUUAGAAGUUCGUUCGAUUGAUUCAAUAUCGAUGAAUCUAGAAAAGAGGAUUGAGGGUUGGAACGAGCGCAUAGCAAAAAUUCUUGGAAUUCCUUGGGAAUUCUUGAUUGGUGUUGAGCUAACUAUAGUACAAAGUCAUAUCUCUUUGGUUAAUAAGAUCCAAAAAGUUUAUCGAUCUCAGGGGGUGCAGAUUCAUAAUCGGCAUAUAGAGAUUAUUGUGCGUCAAAUAACAUCAAAAGGGUUGGUUUCAAAAGAUAGAAUGUCUAAUGUUUUUUCACCCGGAGAACUAAUUGAAUGGUUGCGGGCGGAACGAACAGGGCGUGCUUUGGAAGAAGCGAUCUGUUACCGAGCCAUCUUAUUGGGAAUAACGAAAGCAUCUCUAAAUACUCAAAGUUUCAUAUCCGAAGCGAGUUUUCAAGAAACUGCUAGAGUUUUAGCAAAAGCCGCUCUCCAGGGUCGCAUCGAUUGGUUGAAAGGUUUGAAAGAGAACGUUGUUCUCGGGGGGAUGGUACCCGUUGGUACUGGAUUCAAAGGAUUAGUGCAACGUUCAAGGCAACCUAACAACAUUCCUUUGGAAACAAAAAAGAAUGAUUUAUUCGAGGUGAAAAUGAGAGAUAUGUUGUUCUACCACUAAGAAUUAUUUGAUUUUUUCAUUUCAAAGAAUUUAUACGAUACACCUAAACAAUCAUUGCGAGGAUUUAAUGAUUCCUAAGAGCAGAUUCUUAACUAUUUGCGGUCAUUUUUUUUAUUUGGUAAUAGUAAUAAAGAUAAUAACAAAUAGAAUAGAAAUAAAUUAAUGGCUUGAAUCAUGUAUCAAUGGCUAAUAUCUAUUAGGGGUAGAAAAGAAAGUUCCAUCGGAACAAUUAUUUAUUUCUAUUUCAGGGUACCUCGUCUCUUUUUUUUUUUUUU